GCCGAAUUGCUUUGGGCCAAUAGGUCCUGCAGGCUGCCUGUCUUCCUUCCAGCGGCAGCCUCCAAGUGCUCCAGCACACUCCAAAAAUGAAGUGUCAGAGGACAAUGGUAAAAAAGUACUGCCUUUCCCAUUUUUUCCUACAUGUCUUCCUCAAGGCAUUCUGGUUUGUUUCAUAAGUGGCUGUUAAUUGCUUAAUUUCAAAUAAGCAUUUUGAGUUCAAGUCUUCUGCACCUUGUAACAGGUGAUUCUGCUUUGCCACAGCUCCCACUGGCUCUGCAGAGCUGGUGGCACUGCUUCUCUGCCCUGCCCUGCUCCCUCCUCAUGAGCCACAAGACCUGCACUGGGCUGGGCUGCUGGUCUGCCUGGAGGAGGUGACAGAGCAUGUUCAGCCUGGCCACGGACUGAACCCUUCAUCUCUGGUGUUCAGACAGUGUUCAUUUCCAAAUCCAGCCUGGUGUCUGAAUUGUCCAAGAGUUUCUUUUCCAUCCACAAGCUCCCAGGAGCAAGAGGCUGGCUCCUGCCCACUCCUGCUCUGCCCUGUGCAGUUCCUCCAGGACCAGGAAUAAAGCA
ensembl:lncRNA